ACGGGUGAGUAACGCGUGGGAACAUACCUCUUGGUUCGGAACAACACAGGGAAACUUGUGCUAAUACCGGAUAAGCCCUUACGGGGAAAGAUUUAUCGCCGAGAGAUUGGCCCGCGUCUGAUUAGCUAGUUGGUGGGGUAAAGGCCUACCAAGGCGACGAUCAGUAGCUGGUCUGAGAGGAUGAUCAGCCACAUUGGGACUGAGACACGGCCCAAACUCCUACGGGAGGCAGCAGUGGGGAAUAUUGGACAAUGGGCGCAAGCCUGAUCCAGCCAUGCCGCGUGAGUGAUGAAGGCCCUAGGGUUGUAAAGCUCUUUUGUGCGGGAAGAUAAUGACGGUACCGUAAGAAUAAGCCCCGGCUAACUUCGUGCCAGCAGCCGCGGUAAUACGAAGGGGGCUAGCGUUGCUCGGAAUCACUGGGCGUAAAGGGUGCGUAGGCGGGUUUUUAAGUCAGAGGUGAAAUCCUGGAGCUCAACUCCAGAACUGCCUUUGAUACUGAAAGUCUUGAGUAUGGGAGAGGUGAGUGGAACUGCGAGUGUAGAGGUGAAAUUCGUAGA
rnacentral:rRNA from 1 species